UGGACUACAGUCUAUGGAGAUGGAUAUAUAGUUGUGACUGCACACUAUGUAGAUAUGAAGUGGAUAUUGCAUAGCAAAAUUCUAUCGUUUUGUGAUAUCCUUCCUCCUCACACCGAUGAUGCUUUAGCUAGUAAAAUCCAUGAAUGCUUAAAGGAAUGGGGAAUAGAGAAAAAAGUAUUUAGUUUGACUCUCGAUAAUGCUACAGCUAAUGGAACAUUGCAAGAUAUAUUGAAAGAUAUGCUUAAUUUAGAUAAUGAUUUGUUAUGCAAAGGAGAGUUUUUCCACGUGAGAUGUUGUGCACAUAUCUUAAACCUCAUUGUGCAAGAUGGGUUAGACGUUAUUAUCGGUGCAUUGACUAAGAUUAGAGAGACUGUGAAGUAUCUCAAAGGCUCAAAAUCUAGACGUAUUGCGCUAGCAGAAUGCGUGGAGGGUGAUUGUGAAGUCCUUUUGUCUUUGGAUGUUCAAAAUAGAUGGAAUUCUACGUACUUGAUGCUUGAGAAAGCUUUAAAGUAUGAGCGGGCAUUAAAUAGGUUUAGGUGGUUGACAAAAACUACAAACACUGCCCUACAAGUCAAGAUUGGAAGAGAGCAAAGUUAAUUCAUGAGAUUUUGAUGCCCUUCUAUAGUAUCACUACUUUAAUGUCUAGAAGGAGUUAUUCUACAUCUAACUUAUACUUUGGACAUAUAUGGAUGAUAGUGUUUGCUGGAAUUGAAUAGAUACCACGAUGACAACGUUAUUCGUGAGAUGAUUUACAAGAUGAGGCUGAAAUAUGAUAAAUAUAGGGAGCUAUACAGUGUGAUUCUUGCGAUGGGAGCUGUCUUAGAUCCUAGGAUGAAAUUUAGACUUUUAAAGCGAUGUUACGAUGAGCUGGACCCAUUCACUUCACAAGCAAAAAUAGACCACCUCAAGAGUGAGCUUUAUAAGCUCUUUGAAGAAUAUCAAAAAAAAUUUCCUUUGACUCCAGUUGUAUCUACAAGAGCAGGCUCUUGUGUUCUUGAACGAGGACGAGGGAACUUAGACGUGCAAGAUGAUUUGUUUGACUUAGAUGAUGGUCCAGACUAUAUGGAAGAAGGAAAGUCGGCAUUGGAUAUGUAUUUGAAGGAUCCAAAGCUAGAGAUGAGAAGCCAUCCUAAUCUGAAUAUUUUGCAGUAUUGGAAAGAGAAUAGAAAUCGUUUCGGCGCAUUAACGUAUAUGGCAAUGGACAUUCUAAGCAUACCCAUAACCACUGUAGCUUUUGAGUCUUCAUUUAGUAUUGGAUCUCAUUUGAUCAACAAUUAAAUACCGGAGUCGACUUCUUCCCAGUAACGUCCAAGCGUUACUAUGUACUCGAUCUUGGAUACAUGGUUACAAGGUUGAUGAUGAAGAUUGCGAGAUAAUCACUAUUCGGUCGGAUUCAAAUUAUGUGGAAGAACAAUCUGUUGGAGAAGAACACACUAAAGAUG